GUGGGGGAUAUUGCACAAUGGGCGCAAGCCUGAUGCAGCGACGCCGCGUGGGGGAUGAAGGCUUUCGGGUUGUAAACCUCUUUCGACACGGAACAAGGCUCUGCUUUUUGUGGGGUUGAGGGUACGUGUGUAAGAAGCGCCGGCUAACUACGUGCCAGCAGCCGCGGUAAUACGUAGGGCGCGAGCGUUGUCCGGAAUUAUUGGGCGUAAAGAGCUCGUAGGCGGCUUGUCGCGUCUGCUGUGAAAAUGCGGGGCUUAACUCCGCACGUGCAGUGGGUACGGGCAGGCUAGAGUGCGGUAGGGGUGAUUGGAAUUCCUGGUGUAGCGGUGGAAUGCGCAGAUAUCAGGAGGAACACCGAUGGCGAAGGCAGGUCACUGGGCCGUUACUGACGCUGAGGAGCGAAAGCAUGGGGAGCGAACAGGA
rnacentral:rRNA from 1 species